CAGGUGAAGUAUGGUAUUGAGCGAGUAAUUGCGACAAUGUCGCGCAUGUAUCAGCUUGCUCAGGGUGGUACAGCUGUAGGGACCGGAUUGAAUACAAAGAAGGGGUUUGAUGCAAAGAUAGCAGCAGUAGUAGCCGAGGAAACAAAUCUGCCUUUUGUUACGGCAGAAAAUAAGUUUG